GCCUCACUUUCCCACGGGGUACACGGCGCACAUUUGCGUACCAGCCGCAGCCACGCUCAUGCCUUUGAGUUCCCGUCUGCUCGUAUUCGAGGUGGCAUCUCGUCACGCAGAUGUUGCCUUGGCUGUGUGUGGCCAGCCAAACCCCGGCACACAGGGCGGCAGGCCAGUUGUUUUCGAAACGAGUCGUGGAGGAAGCUGAGCCCAGUCAAGAGUGGGGGGCGCACCGCAAAAAAUUUGCACACAAGUUAAAAACACAUUUUUCUGGCAGUGUAAAUCUCGGGCAGGCUAAUUAAGCCGCGGCGGUUGGCAUGGAAUGGAACGCACGAGCGUUCGGGAGAGAAGCUUACGGGUAUGGGGCGGGUCACACGUGCCAACACCUAGCCACCAGCAGUGUCUCGGACACACGGGGGAAACGAUCAGCAAGCAUGCACAAUAUGAGGAACCUCUCCAUGCAAAAUGUCUUGCAGUCUUUACCUGGUCAAGCGGAGUUCAUGAACAGGGGAGGCCCAUAACAUCCAUCGCUGCUGUGGUCCUGAAAGUUCUGAAGUGGCCGGCUGUAGAGUCUCAUUAACGUGCCACAGGUGUUAAUUGGCAGGCGUUCGGUGUGAAAGCUGCGGUAUGGACACUACCAACUCAUAGGACCAGAGUGACA
ensembl:lncRNA